UCUCUUGCUCCUUGUUUCUGCUCUGCUCACACCUGCUCCUAAUCUGCUCGUUAACCCUCUCUUUGUUUCAGUCUCCUACAAAUACUCUUGCUGUUCAGUUCCUCAGUGCUGGGUCCUUGUCUAACCUCAUCAGUCUUCCUCCUACUUGUGUCUCUGAGCCAUCCUCCUGGUUACAGUUCUUCCCUUGAUGACUCCCAGGUUUUUGGCAUUUAGGGUCUUCCACCUCAAGGACUCGAGUACAUCUCAUAAGAUCCUGGAUCACGUGGGGCUGGGACCACAACUUAUUGGCAGAUGUGUGCUCUGAAGCAGUGCAAAACUGCAAAAGCUUUAAUUCCAAUGUUUCAUGGGUGAUGCAGUAUCAGUCAUUCAAAAUGGCCCUUCCCAGUGAAAUACCAGCUGAAUGGCCGCCCACUUCCCUGCCGCUCCCAGCAAAAU